AACAAAAUGCAUAGUGCAUGGCCUUAGAGAUGUAAAGCUACAGUUGCCAUCAGACAAAGGUUAAGCUUUUCCAUAAUUCCUCGCGGUUUUAAGUAUGAACUUGUACCCUCCCCGGGAUCCCAUCCAUUGCUUGUACUCUCAUUGUGUUUCACACUUGAGACUAGAGAACUGUGUACCUUUCCCAGGAUUGGAUACUGACCCUAUCCAUCAAUUGUAGCCUUGUCAUGCUUGGCAGCACUUGAGGCUACGCACUCUACUUGGGAUAUGUUACUGAUCCGAUCCAGAGUCAAUAACUUAGAAUCCUUUGCAACUAGCAACUAUUACAAAGGUCGGAUAUCACGACACCUCUAUCCGAUAGUUAAGGAUCAAACUGUCAAUCAAGAUCUCAGGAAGCAUGACGCUGGCCCAAUAUCUAAUAUACACAGAACGAAUAUGAGGGAUCUUGGCACAAUAGAGUAUAUGGUGUAAUGUCUGUAGCCUGAAUAUGUCAGUCUGGACUGGCUGGUUUGGUAGGAUAAAUAAGGGGGAUCACGGGCCAAAGGUAGGUUUUUAUCAUCUUACUUUUUAAGAGAGAACACAAUUUGAACGCCCUAGCUUCUGUCACCUUGAUCUACAAGGAGAUUUGUCCUAGAACAAGAUCUAUUUAAAGUGAUGGUGCAAAAAUAUCUUUCUACCAGCAAUCAAAUAACUCAAUGGAUUAUUUUAUUAGAUUGCUUUGGCAUUUUCAUUUGGAGACUAACAAAAGCAAGACCCGGAAAAGCUUUAGCAAUAGUUAACAUCAGAAGAAUGCAAAUGACCGAACAAGGUUAAAGUGGUAUUCAAUCCAAAGUAAGGGCAAACCAGUUGCAAAUAAUUCCAACCAGCUGCAACUUCCCUUUAUUGUUCUUUUAUUUGAGCAAAAUUUCGAAGAGGCUUUGUUCAUUGAUAGGAACUUGGAUAUUAUGGGGUGUUUAGGUCACACAUUGAGCAGAAUGGGAUGCUCAUUGUAGUAUGCGGUUCUCCCCCUUAAUAGCUAAUCUUUUAGGGUGAAGUAAAUGCUUUGGGUGCUCUCCAACUAAAUUUGAUAGAUAUCAAAAAAAUAAUGAGUACAAUACUGGAAAUUCACUGUAUCAACUUAAUUCAGUUCUGUUGCAAAAGUGAUACAUGAUCUGAUCAAAGGAAAACUGCAGAUGAAAUAUAAUACUUGACAGUUAAAGAGGUGUGCCUAUUCUCUCCUGAAAAUCCUUGCUCAUCUUUUUUCUGGCAUUUUCUAUUCUGCUAAUUUAUGAGUUAAAAUUUAAUAUUUAUAUUAAUUUUAAUUUUAUAGAUUUUAAAAGAAAACAGUUUACAUUUGAAAAUUUGAAAUUCAAAGAACACAUCACAUACCAUUAUCACAAUAGGUUCCACCAAACACAACUGCAUUCUCAUUUUGCUAAAUCUAACUGCUAUAGUGUAGAAGACAGUAAAUACAUUUGUUAUACGGGAGGCACCAACCAAACACAGACACUGAUUUAAAUGACCGAGUUCUAAGGCCCUUCUUUCCAAAUUGGAUAUCUGAUUAAAACAUACCAACAAACUACUUAUAAACGUAGACUCGGGCGGAGCGAGUGGGAUGGCCGAAGGGAGCCACAACCACCCCAACAUUUAGAAAUUCAAUUACUAUACAUGUAUAAAAAUUAAUAUGGGUCCUUCUUAUUGACAUUGAAAGAUAAGUGGCUUAUUGAUGGUCUUGUAUUUUAUACAUUUCAUCUCUUUUUCGAAAAUAAGGGAUGCCAUGUUUGUAUUUUGUUUUGAGAGGGUUGUUGCUAAUACUUCUACUUUCUUGUAUUUUCUUUCCAUUAGCCAUUGGGUGUUGCACCUAUGUACUACUCACACUGAUUAGUUACUAUCUCAUAUACUCAAUAUAAUUAUAUAUUUAGUGUGUACAUUAGAAAAUUUAUUAAAUUUUAUUCAUAUAUAAUGAAUAUCAAAAUUUAAUUGUUCUUUUUAAGUUAUGAUAUUUUAAGUUGGUCACCCUAAUCUAAUUCCUGACUUCCCCCAUGUAGGCUGGUUAUUAUUAUCUGAGCGAAAAUAAGGCCCAACCAGCUGCAACUCGCCUUUAUUUAUUGUUCAGGUAUUUGAGCAAAAUCCCAAUUCAGCUUUGUUCACAAUUCCCUACAGCACAGAGGUGCAGAAGAGUGCAAAUAUCUUUUUUAUAUGGGAAGCAACAAACAUAGUCCCAGAUUUAAAUGAAUGAAUUUUAAGACCAUUAUUUCCUAUUUUAUGUUGGUUAUCUGAUUAAACAUACCAAUAAGCCUAAUUACAAAGGUAAGGGGGUAUUAAAUAUUAAAAGUGAGAGUUAGGCUUUGGUAAAAAAACCUGUUGAAGCAGAACUGUGUUGUCUCCUUCAAAUGUCUGAAAAAUGUCAUGAUCGUUCCUCAAAAUACCAAACCGGUUUACAGCAGCAUAACCAUGACCUCCACAGGCUUCCCUACAGAUGCUGAGUGACUUUGCAGUAUAGGAUGUUAUAUAAGCCUUUAGACCGGCUGAUAGAGCAUGGACAUCUGCAACUAAUUCUUCAUCAUUAGUUUUUUUCAUUUGAGAGUAUUUCUCCACCAAAGUUGUUGUUGCAAAAUAAAAAGCAUACGUUGAAGCAAGCAUUGGCAUAAGCUUGUGCUGUUGAGACUGGUAAUCAAGAAUACUAACUUCAGGUUGGUUUGGAGGUCCAAAUUGCUGACGAAGUAGAGAAUAUCUGAUGGCAAUUGUGGCCGCAACCUUCAGGACACUUACUGAAGAAUAUGCAAGACCUACCCUACCACCAACAAGUUCACCUAGAGUUGCACCAAAUCGCUUAUUAACUGUAGGAAGACUACUUGUGUAUUUUCCAUCACGGGAGACAUCUCCAAAACGGUUUAGAAGAUUGUCUCGAGGAAUUCUUACCGAGCGGAAUCUCAAUGCUCCAUUAUCCACACCAUUGAGGCCAACUUUAUGGCCACAAUCAUGUAUCUCAAUCCCAGGGAGUGGUUGAUGGGUCUUCAUAUCCCUUAUUGGAACUAUGAAAGCAUGGACACCCAUGUCAGUAACUCCUUUGGUGUCAUAAGUGGGUAAUUUCAACCUAGCGAAAACAGUGGCAAACUUUCCAUGCACUGCAGCAUUACCAAUCCACCAUUUGAUGGCACCAUCAUUUGGUGUGUCAAUGAUAAAUUCAUCAGUGAUUACAUCAAAGGUGGCAACAGUUUGGAGGCCCUGCACAUUUGAACCUUUUAAAAGCACAAAAAGGUAAGCAAUUUAGAAAUGUGUACCUGUGGUGGUAGCAUGUUUGAGUAAAAUUCCAAGGAAAAAAAAAGACUCACAAUCCAAAGUAGUUUAAGUUGGGAAUGGAAAACAAUCUAACUAAGGAAGCAAGGGUUGUUGGUUAAAGACUUGAACUCACUUUACUGGCAAUUGAACAUACAUGAAAACUGCCAUUUGUUAGAUUAUAUCAAAUAGGGUUCAGUGACAUCUUACAUUUAGCAGUUUAUAUUUUUAUUUCUUAGUAUUCACAAAUAAUUACAAAAUUAAAUAUUGUUUUCACUUUUAUUACUUAGUUUUAAAGAUAUGUAAAAGAGUAAACAGAGUCCCUGUUAUAAAUGCUUCUGUACAAAUCCCUGUGUUUUAUCUGUCCAUAGAAAUUGUUGUAAACAUUUUAAAAUUAUUUGUAAACACAAAAACCUUCUCUCAUAUCAAUCAAGCCUCUCUACCCUAAAUUGAUGGCUACAUUUCUUUACUACGAGUUACAAGUUCAACAGUGUCCUCAUAAGUUCACUCCAUCAUCACGAGUCAGUGACACUAACCAAACCAAUGGAAUGAAAAAACAAAGCACACAAUUACAGUAGUCAACAACUUCACCGACAUAAAGAAAAAGAUGGCAUUACCAUGGUGAAGCUCGGUCAUAGCAAAACAACCGGGGUAGUCCAAGUUAUCAAUCCCAUCAAAGUACUUGUCCUUAUGCUUCUUUGUCCCCAAAUUGAGAACAGAACCACCCCAAAGACUGCGCAAGAAGAGUAGUCAACAAAAACAUGCACACUAACAUGAAUGAAAAAUAGACUCAUUCCAUUUGACAUUAGCGAAAGCAGUGAGUUACCUGUACUGGACCCCCAUCUUGAUCCCGAGCGACAUGUCAACACUUCCAACUGCUUCCAAGAUGGCGAAGUACUUGGCGGGCUCGUUGACCACGUAACGGAGGGGUCGAAUCCCCGCUUCUCUGACGAGUCCCGUUAACUGCUUCAUGCACAACUCUCGAUGUUCGUCUUUCGAGAUCUCAACGGGCGUUUGAAGGUGCGGAUUGGCGUUGAAGUAAUCGAGCACCUUCUCCUGAAUGUCCCAGUGCUUACCUCGUAUGUAACUCGACAGAGAUGGCGUGUCCACGCUCAGCUUCCCUCGCCCGCCGCACGCUGCCAUCUCCAACUGCUCCGCCGCCACGCAGGCGACGGGGUUCAGGUGCAGGGUCAGCCUUCGAAUUCUCCGCUCUGCUUCGGAGGCUGGCUCGGAGUCGGAGUUGGGUUUGGAGUUUGAAAUUUGCAUUUUGGUUUGGAGGAAUUGGAGAGAAGAAGGAAAAAGUUGUUGGUAUUGUUGUUGUUAAAGGACGAGGAAUGUGGUGGGGCUUAAGGGGGUGUUUGGUUGAUUUUUAUGUUGGAUUGGUGAUGGUCGUUAUCCAAACGUGGCUUUGAAGCAACUAUGGAUAAACUCGGAAUUUGUCAGAUCUCCAACGUUUCUUACCAACAAAAUUGUCAUCUUAUCAUUUAUUUAACUUUAAAUGUUAAAGUAAUUGUUUUUUGCUCUUUCUUCUUUUUUAUUUGUUUAAAUUAUAAAAAGUUUUUUUAUAUAUACUUUUAGAAUUUUAAUCAUAUUUUUUAUUAUAUGUUUAGCCUUUACAAAAAAAAUUAGGAUGUUUUAAAUGAACUCAAAAUCAUUAUAUUUUUAGAUUCCUGUAACGUAAUCUUAAAAGACAUUAAAAGAAUGAGUUGUAACUAAUUAAUUUAAAAAAUUCAAAUCAUUUUAAAUGUUGAUAAAUUUUGAAUAUAGUGUUAUAUAUGUAUGAAUUUUUAAUUUAUUUGAUGUUUAAAACGUGCUGUUAUAUUUUGUUAAAAAAUGAAAAUUAUUUAAAUUGAACCGUUUCAAUAUAAUGCAGAACAAGAUAGAAUUUUUCUAUUUUUUUUUUAAAAGGAAACACAGAAUUGGUUUAUCUUUGAAUGUUCUUUGUGAAGAAAAAACAAAAAAAACUACAUGGCUGUGACUCACACGGAAUCUUUUGUCUCUUUAACACGUUACAUCAAGAGUCAACUUUCUUGCACGCAUAUUCACACAGUCAUUAAUACAAUAUGUUUUGUAUUAAUAAAUUUUAAGAAAAAAAUUAAAUAUUAAUAACGAAAAUCAAUUUAAUACAUAAUUAAAUAUUGAUGUUCGUCUUUCUUUUCUCCUUUGUACAUGGAUGCUCACUUGAAAAUAUCAUUAAAUAUCACUAAAAACCACGCAUUUUUUACACAUAACAAAGAUAACAAGGUAAAAUAACACAAUCUAAGUAAAUUUCAUUUAUGUUCUUUGCAACUCACCACGGAAGAAAAAAGUAAUUGUACCAUCCCGGGAGCAUACCCGGUGUUGGGUCGACCGACCGAUGCCAACUGGGCCAGCAUGAGACAUUAUUGAUCUAGGCCUGAUGCAUCGAAGCCGACUGUUUCUUCCUGCACCUUCUGGCACCUCCAUACACAAUAUGAAAAUACAUUUUUAUCCUUCUUGUGCUAUCUCCAUAGAAUAAUUUCCAGAUUAUGUAAUUCGGAAACGCAUUUGAAAAAAGACUUCUGGAUUACAUAAUCCGGAAGUUAAAAAAAACUUCUGGAUUAUAUAAUCCGGAAAGUAAUCAUGCAUCUGAAAAAAGAGUUUCGGAUUAUAUAAUUCUAAAGCUAAUUACAAAUUUAAAAAAUGACUUCCGGAUUAUGUAAUUCGGAAUGUUACAGAGGGAUAUUUUUGAAAAUACGAAAAUCUAUGGAGGUAAGAGAAGAAGAUAUGGAGGUGCAGGAAGAACCAGCCAUCGAAACCCCUAGCUAGAGAAUACGUGAUUUGGCAGUAUACAAUGUCAAUAAUUAUCUCAUGUUCUGAUUUACUUACACAAUAUUCUUAAUUACACAAUAUUCCUAAUUAUAUUAUAUUGCGUAAAUGUUCUGAUUUAGUUACACGAUAUUCUUGAUUUACUUACACGAUAUUCUUAAUUAUAUUGCGUGAAUGUUCUGAUUUUAUGACACGAUCCUACAAUAUGUCUCAUUAAAGCUUGAAAAAUCAAUAUCAAAGGGUCAAGCGCAUAAAGGCUUAUAAAAAGACAAUCAAUCACAGGAAUUUCCUCAACUCACAUUCUGACACUAAUUUCACUGAUGCACUUAAGAUUUUGGUGUUCUAACUAAAUUGAACAUCGGCAUGUCAUCACUGAAAGAACUCCUCACGUUUUUUUUGAAGGUUGACCGCUAAGACUUGGAAGGAAACCACCAGGAAUUCGUCUGGAUUCCGACACAUUUCAAGCCGGCAAAAACUGUAACAUAAGUCCCAUUUGGACAUUCUGUUGAAAUGAAUUGAUACAAACACAUGCAAUCUUUACAAAUUUGUUCUCGCUACAGUGGAAAGUUAGAAACAAAACAGGAUUAGUUGAAAGUACUGAAUUUAAAGUAAAUAUUCAAUUCUGUUCUUAUAAAAUUGAGACUAUGAUUAAUAGGUAUUUAUUAAAUUUGUAUAUAAAUAAAGUUUUUAAAUAUUACUUUGGCGUCAAGGUUUAUUUAUUAUUUAUAAAUUAAUAUGUUUUUACACAUAAAAUGUUGCCACAAGACCAACUAAACCUUUAUAAAUAUCCGUUUCAAUUCCACGGAUAAUCUAAUCUUCAACUGAAACUUCAUUGCAUGACGCUUCAUUUAUGGCUGUGCAGAGUAUGGCGAUCUUGGUGAGGAGCAACCACUGGUAUGCCACAAUUUUAACACUGGGCCAAAAGAAUUAUAGUGUAAUUCCCAAAAGAAAAUAUGAAUCUUCUUUGCGCCCUUCGUUAUUAAAAUCCCGCAUAUUGUGUGUACUGAGAGUAAGCUCCUGAGCGCAUGACAAUAGGGGCCGUGUAACAUGAUCCGGAAGAUCAAAUGCAUCCACAAGUUCCCUUGCAACAUUCCUCACUUGAAAACUAAGAUACUCCGCAAGUUUGUGGAUAGCCUGUGAAAUCAAAAAACUUCAAUAUCCAUUAAUAAGAUUACAGCGUAAAAAAAGGCAAGGUCCUUGCAUAUCCAUCCUCAGACAAACUGCACUACUGUUAUCUUCUCAAGGUUUAAAAGUGAUUGCCAAAGACCAAAACUUUUUAACAAAGCCAACACACGCUCAUUAUUGAUUUAAGUUUUGUUGAGAGAGAGGGAAAAUUUUAUUUCAAGGAGAAUUUUCUAUAUCUUAGCUUUGUUAGGAGCCACAUAGUCAACAUUUCGAUAGGUUCCAAUGUCAUUCCAUAUUGGAUCUAGAGCAUAAAGAUCACACACGAGCUUCAGAGCAGCUUGCGAACUUGGUUCGGAACAGCUGCCACAUAUAUAGGUCAAGUUAAAAUUAGAUAAUACACAAGUACAAGGAACAACGAAAGCACUUUUGCACGGGUUCAAUGAAUUUAGCAAGGAUGACUGAUUCAAUAUGUGACUUUGCAAGUGUCAAAAGGUGAUUUAAACAUCUAUUCCAUGCACCAAAGACCCCAAGGGUUUUAGAAUGCUUGCGAAGUCGUACAGCAACACUUUGAAGUAAUCUAGAUGUUCGAUACUGCAGAGUAAAAGUCAAUAUAAAUGUUGAUUUACUUGUGUCAGCAUGAACAAUGUUUAGUCAUUAGUCAAGGAAUGAAGAUAAUACUCACUCUGAAGGCAUCCAAUUGAAAUUUAGAAUCUCGUAAAUGAUCUUUGCCUUCCCACCGAGCAGUAACCGGAUUUGGCUGUGACAUAAAAGUAUUCAUGGAUUCUCUCAAGUAGUUCCAUGUCACAGCCAAAGUUCCUCCUGUGAACUUUCCCUUGUAUUGUUUCAAAAGAUCAGCUGCAACCUUUAUUUGUAAAGGAAAACUACAAACAUAUCAGUUAACGUGCUUCCAAUACAAGAACAGCAAAACCAAAUAAAAUGCAUAGUGCAUGGCCUUAGAGAUGUAAAGCUACAGUUGCCAUCAGACAAAGGUUAAGCUUUUCCAUAAUUCCUCGCGGUUUUAAGUAUGAACUUGUACCCUCCCCGGGAUCCCAUCCAUUGCUUGUACUCUCAUUGUGUUUCACACUUGAGACUAGAGAACUGUGUACCUUUCCCAGGAUUGGAUACUGACCCCAUCCAUCAAUUGUAGCCUUGUCAUGCUUGGCAGCACUUGAGGCU
rnacentral:lncRNA from 1 species